AUGAAGGUGGAGCAGAGUCCUUCAGCUGUGAACCUCCAGGAAGGAACCAGUUCUACUCUGAGGUGCAAUUAUUCUGAGGCUGUGAACAAUGUGCAGUGGUUCCGACAGAGUCCUGGAAGAGGUCUCAUCAGUCUUAUUUUCAUAGCUUCAGGCAUGAAGCAGAAAGGAAAGUUAAGUUUCACUAUUAAUUCUAAGGAAUUAUAUAGCACUCUCCACAUCACAGACUCUCAACUGGAAGACUCAGCCACCUACUUGUGUGCAGUUAAGACACAGUACUCCCAGCUAAUCUGCAGGCUGCACCCAAACCGCAGCUGCAGUCACACCCUCACUAGGGGCAGGCCUAUCACCCCCACAAGUAACAUUUGCACAGCUUUUAAAUUUUUCAAUACGUGUUGUAACACUUCUGUCCUUGUUCAAAUUUUACCUUGA